GGGUCUGGGGGGUCUGGGGGGUCUUCAGGGGGUCUCAGGAGGUUCCUGCUCGGUCUGAGGGACUGAGGGUUCUCCAUCGUGUUGUUCAGUAGAAACAUUUCAAUAGAAGAACCAGGAGGGGGCGGAGCUUGGCUUCAUGGUGCUUCUGCUAAAACUAGUUUGAACCAGCAGGAAACGGCGGUUUACCAGACCAGGUUAACCUGUUUUAGACCAGUUCAGACUGGGUUAAAACCAGGUUAACCUGCUUUAAACCAGGUUUAGACCAGGUUAACCUACCUAAACCGGGUUUAAAUCAGGUUAACCUACCUAAACCAGGUUUAGACCAGGUUAAUCUACCUAAACCAGGUUUAGACCAGGUUAACCUACCUAAACUGGGGUUAGACCAGGUUAACCUACCUAAACCGGGUUCAGACCAGGUCAACCUACCUAAACCGGGUUCAGACCAGGUUAACCUACCUAAACCGGGUUCAGACCAGGUUAAUCUACCUAAACUGGGUUUAGACCAGGUUAACCUACCUAAACCAGGUUUAGACCAGGUUAAUCUACCUAAACCGGGUUCAGACCAGGUUAACCUACCUAAACUGGGUUCAGACCAGGUUAACCUACCUAAACUGGGUUUAGACCAGGUUAACCUACCUAAACCGGGUUCAGACCAGGUUAAUCUACCUAAACCGGGUUCAGACCAGGUUAACCUACCUAAACCGGGUUCAGACCAGGUUAACCUACCUAAACUGGGUUUAGACCAGGUUAAUCUACCUAAACCGGGUUUAGACCAGGUUAACCCACCUAAACCGGGUUUAGACCGGUGUUGUAAACUGUGCUGUGUAAAUAAAGCUGGAUUGAACUGGA